UACGGGGGGGGCAAGCGUUGUUCGGAAUUAUUGGGCGUAAAGAGCUCGUAGGCGGUCUGUCGCGUCGGACGUGAAAACCCAGGGCUCAACCCUGGGCCUGCGUUCGAUACGGGCAGACUAGAGUUCGGUAGGGGAGACUGGAAUUCCUGGUGUAGCGGUGAAAUGCGCAGAUAUCAGGAGGAACACCGGUGGCGAAGGCGGGUCUCUGGGCCGAAACUGACGCUGAGGAGCGAAAGCGUGGGGAGCGAACAGG
rnacentral:rRNA from 1 species